GUGGAGGAACACCAGUGGCGAAGGCGACUCUCUGGUCUGUAACUGACGCUGAGGAGCGAAAGCGUGGGGAGCGAACAGGAUUAGAUACCCUGGUAGUCCACGCCGUAAACGAUGAGUGCUAAGUGUUAGGGGGUUUCCGCCCCUUAGUGCUGCAGCUAACGCAUUAAGCACUCCGCCUGGGGAGUACGGUCGCAAGACUGAAACUCAAAGGAAUUGACGGGGGCCCGCACAAGCGGAAGAGCAUGUGGUUUAAUUCGAAGCAACGCGAAGAACCUUACCAGGUCUUGACAUCCUCUGACAAUCCUAGAGAUAGGACGUCCCCUUCGGGGGCAGAGUGACAGGUGGUGCAUGGUUGUCGUCAGCUCGUGUCGUGAGAUGUUGGGUUAAGUCCCGCAACGAGCGCAACCCUUGAUCUUAGUUGCCAGCAUUCAGUUGGGCACUCUAAGGUGACUGCCGGUGACAAACCGGAGGAAGGUGGGGAUGACGUCAAAUCAUCAUGCCCCUUAUGACCUGGGCUACACACGUGCUACAAUGGACAGAACAAAGGGCAGCGAAACCGCGAGGUUAAGCCAAUCCCACAAAUCUGUUCCCAGUUCCAAUCGCAGUCUGCAACUCGACUGCGUGAAGCUGGAAUCGCUAGUAAUCGCGGAUCAGCAUGCCGCGGUGAAUACGUUCCCGGGCCUUGUACAA
rnacentral:rRNA from 1 species